UUGAUCCUGGCUCAGAACGAACGCUGGCGGCGCGUUUUAAGCAUGCAAGUCGAACGGUACGCAUGGUGCUUGCACUGUGCUGAGAGUGGCGAACUGGUGAGUAACACGUAGGUGAUCUACCUUGAGGCCUGGGAUAGCCUGUGGAAACACAGGGUAAGACCGGAUGAGCCCCUGUACUUGCGGGUAGAGGGGGAAAGGUGCUAUGGCACCGCCUUAAGAUGAGCCUGCGUCCCAUUAGUUAGUUGGUGGGGUAAAGGCCUACCAAGGCGACGAUGGGUAGCCGGCCUGAGAGGGUGAUCGGCCACACUGGGACUGAGACACGGCCCAGACUCCUACGGGAGGCAGCAGCUAAGAAUCUUCCGCAAUGGACGAAAGUCUGACGGAGCGACGCCGCGUGAACGAAGAAGGCCGGAAGGUUGUAAAGUUCUUUUGCGGGUGAAGAAUAAGGCGAGGAGGGAAUGCCUCGCUGAUGACGUUAGCCUGUGAAUAAGCCCCGGCUAAUUACGUGCCAGCAGCCGCGGUAACACGUAAGGGGCGAGCGUUGUUCGGAAUUAUUGGGCGUAAAGGGCGUGUAGGCUGUUUUGUAAGCCUGGUGUGAAAGUGCACGGCUUAACUGUGUAUGUGCGCUGGGAACUGCAAGACUAGAGUCCGGAAGGGGGAGGUAGAAUUCCUGGUGUAGGGGUGAAAUCUGUAGAUAUCAGGAAGAAUACCGGUGGCGAAGGCGACCUCCUGGUCCUGGACUGACGCUGAGGCGCGAAAGCGUGGGGAGCGAACAGGAUUAGAUACCCUGGUAGUCCACGCUGUAAACGAUGUGCACUAGGUGUUGGGGCAAGAGCUUCAGUGCCGAAGCGAACGCGAUAAGGUGCACCGACUGGGGAGUAUG
rnacentral:rRNA from 1 species